rnacentral:rRNA from 1 species
AGAACGAACGCUGGCGGCAUGCCUAACACAUGCAAGUCGAACGCUUUUGGGGCUUCGGUCCCAAAGGAGUGGCGCACGGGUGAGUAGCGCGUGGGAACCUGCCCUGGAGUGGGGGAUAACCGAGGGAAACUUCGGCUAAUACCGCAUACGCCGGGAAACCGGGAAAGAUUUAUCGCUCUAGGAGGGGCCCGCGUCGGAUUAGGUAGUUGGUGGGGUAACGGCCUACCAAGCCUGUGAUCCGUAGCUGGUCUGAGAGGAUGAUCAGCCACACUGGGACUGAGACACGGCCCAGACUCCUACGGGAGGCAGCAGUGGGGAAUAGUUGGACAAUGGGCGCGAAGCCUGAUCCAGCAAUGCCGCGUGAGUGAUGAAGGCCUUCGGGUUGUAAAGCUCUUUCGCACGCGAGGAUGAUGACGCUAGCGUGAGAAGACGCCCCGGCUAACUUCGCGCCAGCAGCCGC